AGUGAACGCUGGCGGUAGGCCUAACACAUGCAAGUCGAACGGCAGCACAGUAAGAGCUUGCUCUUACGGGUGGCGAGUGGCGGACGGGUGAGGUAUACCUCGGAAUCUACUUUUUCGUGGGGGAUAACGUAGGGAAACUUACGCUAAUACCGCAUACGUCCUACGGGUGAAAGCAGGUGAUCUUCGGACCUUUCGCGUUUUUAUUAGCCGAUGUCGGAUUAGCUAGUUGGCGGGGGAAAGUCCCACCAAGGCGACGAUCCGUAGCUGGUCUGAGAGGAUGAUCAGCCACACUGGAACUGAGACACGGACCAGACUCCUACGGGAGGCAGCAGUGGGGAAUAUUGGACAAUGGGCGCAAGCCUGAUACAGCAAUACCGCGUGGGUGAAGAAGGCCUUCGGGUUGUAAAGCCCUUUUGUUGGGAAAGAAAAGCAGCAGGUUAAUACCCCGCUGUUCUGACGGUACCAAAAGAAUAAGCACCGGCUAACUUCGUG
rnacentral:rRNA from 1 species